rnacentral:rRNA from 1 species
CCCGCUCAGAAACUUACAUGAAUUGACGGGGCCCGCACAAGCGGUGGAGUAUGUGGUUUAAUUCGAUGCAACGCGAAGAACCUUACCUGGUCUUGACAUCCCGGAGACCCUUAGGAAACUAGGGGGUGCUUCCAUCUGGAAGAAUCUGGAGACAGGUGCUGCAUGGCUGUCGUCAGCUCGUGUCGUGAGAUGUUGGGUUAAGUCCCGCAACGAGCGCAACCCUUGCCUUUAGUUGCCAGCAGUUCGGCUGGGCACUCUAAAGGGACUGCCGGUGUUAAACCGGAGGAAGGUGGGGAUGACGUCAAGUCCUCAUGGCCUUUAUGACCAGGGCUACACACGUACUACAAUGGCCGAUACAAAGGGCAGCGACACUGCGAGGUGAAGCCAAUCCCGUAAAAUCGGUCUCAGUCCGGAUUGGAGUCUGCAACUCGACUCCAUGAAGUUGGAAUCGCUAGUAAUCGUGGAUCAGCAUGCCACGGUGAAUACGUUCCCGGGCCUU